rnacentral:rRNA from 1 species
GGUGAACGCUGGCGGUAGGCCUAACACAUGCAAGUCGAACGGCAGCACAGUAAGAGCUUGCUCUUACGGGUGGCGAGUGGCGGACGGGUGAGGAAUACAUCGGAAUCUACUUUUUCGUGGGGGUUAACGUAGGGAAACUUACGCUAAUACCGCAUACGACCUACGGGUGAAAGCAGGGGAUCUUCGGACCUUGCGCGAUUGAAUGAGCCGAUGUCGGAUUAGCUAGUUGGCGGGGUAAAGGCCCACCAAGGCGACGAUCCGUAGCUGGUCUGAGAGGAUGAUCAGCCACACUGGAACUGAGACACGGUCCAGACUCCUACGGGAGGCAGCAGUGGGGAAUAUUGGGCAAUGGGCGCAAGCCUGAUCCAGCCAUACCGCGUGGGUGAAGAAGGCCUUCGGGUUGUAAAGCCCUUUUGUUGGGAAAGAAAAGCAGCAGGUUAAUACCCCGCUGUUCUGACGGUACCCAAAGAAUAAGCACCGGCUAACUUCGUG